UUUACCCCCCUUUUCCUCCCAGACAGCCUACUUUCAUCACAGUGCACAAUUGAAAUUGGAGACCACUUGGGUUUCCUUACUUUGAAAGAGCUCAGAAGGAACCUUUACAACUCCUAAUGAAAGGCUGCAGAGAAGAGCUGAAAUUAAGUCAGCAGAGUUCAUGAUUUGUCUUGGAGCAGAGCCUAAUUCAGUUUGUAAUACAAGGUCUAUUCUGGAGUCCCAGCAUCAGGUCCUGAGGCUAUGAAUCAAAGUAAGAGAGUGGAGUUCAUCAGUUUUGCUCCCUUGGUCAAGUGGCAUUUAAAGAACCAUUCUGCAGACGCAGUGGAAAAUUACAGAAGCGGAAUUUUUGUUGGCCACUUCAUCCUUUUCAGCUCUACAGUAGUACUGGAAAGAGGAGUGAUGAUGGGAAGCUUAAACCUCAGCCCCUUCUCUGAGCACUGAAGUAUUUCUCAACACUGACUGCAGAGACUUUCAUAUAGAAAGAUGUGUUUUCAGAUUCCCUGCUCUCCCAGUCCUUGGCCUUUCAACUGAGACUGCCAACAAAUGAUUGCUGAACACUUGCCAGGCAGCAGUAACUUUCAGUCCUCAGUUUAUAAUAAUGCUAAAUCGGUAUUCUGCUGUCAACCCCUGGUUUAUAAUAAUGCAAAAUCAGUGUUCUGUUGCUGGGAAUGCCUUAUUCAUUAUGGGCCAUGUCCAAAUCACUUGAAUGUGAAUCUGUGGUGAUGCACAUCAACUAAUCUGCCAGAAAUUGCCUCAUAAAGGUGCAAUUCGCCAUAUUGGCAACAUGUAAUUUAUGAAGUCUCCCUUUUCAGACCAAAAUAAGGUUGGCCUAUUCCAAGGAGGUUAAAAAAGAUAAACUCACAACCAGCAAUAAAAUUCAAGGGAAAACGGAUGCCUAAUUCUAUAAAGCACUUCUGAAAAAUCCCAUCUGUUAAUGCUUAAAACAAUAUAUCUUC